UACGUAGGUGGCGAGCGUUGUCCGGAAUUACUGGGUGUAAAGCGCGUGUAGGCGGGAGGCCAAGUCUGUGGUGAAAUCGCUCGGCUUAACUGGGCGGGGUCCAUGGAAACUGGUCACCUGGAGGUCGGUAGAGGCAAGUGGAAUUCCCGGUGUAGUGGUGAAAUGCGUAGAGAUCGGGAGGAACACCAGUGGCGAAGGCGGCUUGCUGGGCCGGACCUGACGCUGGAGACGCGAAGGCGUGGGGAGCGAACGGG
rnacentral:rRNA from 1 species